AUUGAACGCUGGCGGCAGGCUUAACACAUGCAAGUCGAGCGGGGGAAGGUAGCUUGCUACCGGACCUAGCGGCGGACGGGUGAGUAAUGCUUAGGAAUCUGCCUAUUAGUGGGGGACAACAUCUCGAAAGGGAUGCUAAUACCGCAUACGUCCUACGGGAGAAAGCAGGGGAUCUUCGGACCUUGCGCUAAUAGAUGAGCCUAAGUCGGGUUAGCUAGUUGGUGGGGUAAAGGACCACAAAGGCGACGAACUGUAGCGGGACUGAGAGGAUGAUACGACACACUGGGACUGAGACACGGCCCAGACUCCUACGGGAGGCAGCAGUGGGGAAUAUUGGACAAUGGGGGGAACCCUGAUCCAGCCAUGCCGCGUGUGUGAAGAAGGCCUUAUGGUUGUAAAGCACUUUAAGCGAGGAGGAGGCUACUCUAGUUAAUACCUAGGGAUAGUGGACGUUACUCGCAGAAUAAGCACCGGCUAACUCUGUGCCAGCCGCCGCCGUAA
rnacentral:rRNA from 1 species